rnacentral:sRNA from 1 species
GCACAUCGUCGGUUUGUCAAAUUACAAUGCAUGACUUGAAUGGUCUGGCGCCCUCAUUUGUCCGCUCGGAUAGUUAUUAUGGCGCUGUUCCCUGUGGGUGGCACUAGAAUAUCCUUUCCCGCUAACGCCGCCGUUACACUACUGCGACCCAAGUGGAUCAUAUGAACUUGUGAAUUGAGGAGAUCCCUUGAUCCUGGACCUGGCUGGCUUCAGAACAGGGGGACAGAUAGAGAAGGAAUCCUGUGUCUGCUCAGCUAUUUGUUUCAUCAUUCGAGUCAAAAAACAAGAAUAAGAACUGGAAAGCAGCCCGUCCUUGAACUGUACUUUGCAAUAACUAUACCAGCUUGUGGCGGAAAUUUGAUGUGCCAAGUACAGAAUCCUUCUGCUGCACCCGGAUUUUGGCCUUGGAGGUCGAUCCUGGACUCUUCGGAUUGUAUCUCCCCAAGGUCUAACAGAGGCAACUGAAUGACGGAUCCCUCAUCAUCAAUCCUAUGAAAACAAAACGGCUUUAUGAAAUCCCUAUUGCCUGUAAGCUUUUAUCCCAUUACACCCUCGGCUGCUGCUCAUGCAGCUCAUAUACCAGUGCAUCUAAGGAAUAUCACCAUUUCAAGUGACC